rnacentral:misc_RNA from 1 species
AUGAAAUGCAAGGGUGCUCUUUUUAGAGGCCCGACCCAUUCCAUUUCUACACUGUGCACAUACACUUUUUUACAUCAUUUUAUACACAAAGUCUUAAGAAUGUAACCAGCCUCCUAACGGAGCAUGAAAUAAUA